GGAGGGUGUAGCUCAGUGGUAGAGUGUAUGUUUACCAUGCACAAGGUCCUGGGUUCAAUCCCCAGUGUCUCCU